rnacentral:lncRNA from 1 species
AUGUUGGUUACCCAAGAUCUCUGUUUUGUUGAUGUAUGUUGUUGGGUUGCUGGCUUUUUGAUGUUUAUCCCUUAAAUCAUGCAAUUAGGUCAGUUGUGAGAAGAGACAGAAUUUGAAAAAAAGUAUGUUUCAGAAUUUGUUACAUGUAUUUCAAAAUUUACAUAUCAAUGCAUAUCAUGAAGAGGGGGGAUAGGAGGGGUCUUGAUCCCAAAAUCCUGGACUUGAAAAAACGAAAUCCUGAGGUCCCGAAUUUAAAUAAAGCAAAUCCCGACAUCCCGAAAUCCGAAAAAAAGAAACCCCGGAUCCCGAAAGGGUCAAUCCCGAAAUCCCGAGCUGAAAAACACCCGAUCCCAGAGUCCCGAUAAAGGCCCUAUCCCCCCUCCAUGAAGAUUGAAUGAUAGAUACAUGUACAAAUGUAUCUUAGAAAUUGUACAAAAAAAUCCCUGUACAAGUAGAACAUUUAGAAUAAUGAAUUGUUUACUAAAUAUUUAGUUUAUUUACAAAGCCUGAAUUACGUAAUAAAUACACA